rnacentral:sRNA from 1 species
GGAAGCUGGACGACUGACAAGGACAUGCGAAAAGGCCGGCGAUCGCUCGCCGGCCUUUUCGGGAAGUGCAAUU